UCCCGCUGCAUGUCCGGGUUAAACAUGCACCUCCCUGUUGGACUUGGCCGGGCCUUUGUGCCCGGUCAUUUUU
rnacentral:ncRNA from 1 species